UACAGGGGGUGCAAACGUUGCUCGGAAUUAUUGGGCGUAAAGCGCGCGUAGGCGGCUACUUAAGUCGGAUGUGAAAGCCCUUGGCUCAACUGAGGAAGUGCACCCGAAACUGAGUGGCUUGAGUACUAAAGAGGGUCGCGGAAUUCCCGGUGUAGAGGUGAAAUUCGUAGAUAUUCGCAAGAACACCGAUGGCGAAGGCAGCCUUCUGGGCCAACACUGACGCUCAUGCACGAAAGCGUGGGGAGCAAACAGG
rnacentral:rRNA from 1 species